GGAGGAGACUAAAGGGGAGAGGAGGAGAGGGGCUGAGAAGCCGUGGCAGGACAAGAUGGCAGGUGAUGUUAAGAUUCUGCUCUGUGUAUUUACAGCCCUCUGAUGUUUUCUGCACAUGGUGUUGCUGUUCCGCUGAGAUGAAGCUACAACAGCUGUGGUUCCCAGCACAAGAUCAAAACAUCCAAAACUCCUGCAUAGAUCAGGACGAGCUAAGUGAUAUUUCACCCUCUCUUUAAGACAAGCUUAAUCCACUCUAGUUAUUAUAAUUGUCUAUUUCAUGGUGUACAAGUCUUCAAUAGGUAGCAAAGGGAUUUCCUAUCAGAGGAAAUUCUGUCAAAUAAAAUGAAUUCCUUGUAAACUAAAUUUUAACGAAAAGGUUACAUAUUUCUUUAGUGCUUUUUUUUUUAAUUGCAUGGAAAAGUAUCCUUCUAGUCCAUUCAUUACAAAGUACAAUGACUGAAGCAAUUGUUUCCGUCACAGGGGUAGUGACCAGAGCCCUUCUCAAUACUAAUGUACAUUAUACCUGUACACCAUGAAGUCACAAUGUACAAGUCAAUCUUGACUCCACUUUGAUGUAUUUCCUUCAAAACUUCUUAGUUAUUUCUCUCGAAAUACUGGGAUAUAUUUUGGAGCUCUAUUACUUCUCAUUUUAGCAUAAUUUGUUCCUAUUUAAUCUCUCCUAUAAGGAUGAUGAACAUCUGAAAGUGAUUAGAUGGAACAGAGUAGGGGAACGAGGCACAGAGAACCAUUUCACAUCGUCUGAUGCCCACUGAUUGAGCAAGUUUUCCUGUUUCCUUGGCUAUGCUUUCUGUGAGUUUGCUUUUCUGUACAUGCAGUCCUGUAACUAGGCAGAACACUGGCAACUAUGGCAACACUGCCCUUCUCAAAGAAAAAGAACAGAAUUCAGUAACCCCUGGAUCCUGUGACAUAGCCCAGUCCUGCAGUGAGAAGUGACUGUGUCCUUUACUGUCUGUUGUAAUCUCCAUGGUCUGUUUCUUCCAAUAUCCACCUCACAAUGAUUUCACCAAAUGGAAAAGUGUAGAAGCUAUUUAGAGAGGUCCACCAAAUGAGAAAUUCUGUGAACUCAGACAAAUGCCAGAAUCAGAUGGCUUCCUUAUUAGGAGACUGGCAUUGGAAAUUUCCCCAUGUAUGAACAGGACCUAUCCUCCAAGAGCUGGCAAAAUGUGUGGACACCCAUCAUCCUAAGGCUGAAACCCUGGACAGACAAAAUCCCUGUCAAACAAUAACCCAUGUCACUGGAAGUAAAGGCUGGCAUCACUGAACAUAUUGCCCAUCUGAUGGAGACUGGGAUCUUGGUACCUUUCCAAUUUCCCUGGAACACCCCCUGUUGCCAGUUUCCAAGCCUGGCACCAAUGACUAUUGCCCAGCACAGGAUCUCUGAGAAAUAAACAAAAGAAGUGAGGAUAUCCAUCCCACAUUUUCAAACUCA